rnacentral:rRNA from 1 species
AGAAUCAACGCUGGCGGCGUGCCUAACACAUGCAAGUCGAACGAGAAAGUGGAGCAAUCCAUGAGUAAAGUGGCGACCGGGUGAGUAACACGUGACUAACCUACCUUCAAGUGGGGGAUAACCUCGGGAAACCGGGGCUAAUACCGCAUAACAUCUUUGGAGUGGAAAUUCUGGAGAUCAAAGGAGCAAUUCGCUGGAAGAGGGGGUCGCGGCUGAUUAGCUAGUUGGCGGGGUAAUGGCCCACCAAGGCUUUGAUCGGUAGCCGGCCUGAGAGGGCGCACGGCCACACUGGAACUGAAACACGGUCCAGACUCCUACGGGAGGCAGCAGUGGGGAAUUUUGCGCAAUGGGGAAACCCUGACGCAGCAACGCCGCGUGGAGGAUGAAGUCCCUUGGGACGUAAACUCCUUUCGACCGGGAAGAUGAUGACGGUACCGGUGGAAGAAGCCCGGCUAACUUCGCGCCAGCAGCCGC